rnacentral:tRNA from 1 species
GGAGAGGUCGCAUAGUUUGGCCUAGUGCGCGCGUCUCGAAAACGCGUAUCCAGAAAUGGAUCGUGGGUUCGAAUCCCACCCUCUCCGCC